rnacentral:rRNA from 1 species
GACGAACGCUGGCGGCGUGCUUAACACAUGCAAGUCGAACGGAAAGGCCCUGCUUUUGUGGGGUGCUCGAGUGGCGAACGGGUGAGUAACACGUGAGUAACCUGCCCUUGACUUUGGGAUAACUUCAGGAAACUGGGGCUAAUACCGGAUAGGAGCUCCUGCUGCAUGGUGGGGGUUGGAAAGUUUCGGCGGUUGGGGAUGGACUCGCGGCUUAUCAGCUUGUUGGUGGGGUAGUGGCUUACCAAGGCUUUGACGGGUAGCCGGCCUGAGAGGGUGACCGGCCACAUUGGGACUGAGAUACGGCCCAGACUCCUACGGGAGGAAGCAGUGGGGAAUAUUGCGCAAUGGGCGGAAGCCUGAUGCAGCAACGCCGCGUGCGGGAUGACGGCCUUCGGGUUGUAAACCGCUUUCGCCUGUGACGAAGCGUGAGUGACGGUAAUGGGUAAAGAAGCACCGGCUAACUAC